rnacentral:ncRNA from 1 species
UAAAAGUUUGAUUUUAGCUUAAUUAUUUAUAAUAUAAUUAUUUUGCAUGUAAAUUAUUGUGUGGUUUUUAUAUAUUUUAAAUAAAUAUUUAAAUAUAAAUUAAUUGCAGCAUUUGAUUUUAAUAAUUUAAGAAAUUUAGAAUUAUUAAUUAUUAUAUACAUAGGCUAAAAUUGUGCCAGCAGCUGCGGUUAAACAAUUUAUGUAAUUAAAUAUUAUUAAUUUAUAAUUUUAUUUAAUUUAAUUUAUAAAUAUAUUUUUUUAUUAAUUAGGUGAAAUUUUUAUUAAAUUAUAUUAUUUAAAAUUUUUAUUUAAAUUAUGAAAUCUAAAUAUAAAACUAGGAUUAGAUACCCUAUUAUUUUAGAAUUAAAUUUUUUAUUUUAAGGAUUAAUAGUUAUGGUCUUUAAACUUAAAAAAAUUGGCGGUAUUUAAAUCUAAUUAGGGGAAUUUGUUUUUUGAAUGAUAAUCCGCAAGUUACCUUACUUUAUUUUUUAAUUUGUUUAUUGUCGUUAUAAAAAUAUUUUUUAAGAAUAAUUAAUUUUUAAUAAUUAAUAUAAUAAUUUAUUUCAGAUCAUAGUGCAGUAAUAAUAAAGUUAAAAUGAAUUACAAUAAAUUUUAUUUAAAUGAAUAUAAAAUUGAAAUAUUUUAUUGAAGGUGGACUUAAUAGUAAAAUUUAAUAUAUUAUAAAUUUGAAUUUAGAAUUAAAUAUGUACAUAUUGCCCGUCACUUUCAUUUUAAAAUGAGAUAAGUCGUAACAAAGUAAGUGUAUUGGAAAAUGUACUUAGAAUGU